AGCAGCCGCGGUAAUUCCAGCUCCAAUAGCGUAUAUUAAAGUUGUUGCAGUUAAAAGCUCGUAGUUGAAUUUCAGGCCUGGCUGGGCGGUCCGCCCUUCGGGUGAGUACUGCCUGUGGUCGGGUCCUACCUUCUGGCGAAGCGUCAUGGCCUUAACCGGCCGUGGCGGGGAACCAGGACUUUUACUGUGAAAAAUUAGAGUGUUCAAAGCAGGCAAUCGCUUGGAUACAUUAGCAUGGAAUAAUGGAAUAGGACAAUGGUUCUAUUUGUUGGUUUCUAGGACCGUUGUAAUGAUUAAUAGGGAUAGUUGGGGGCAUUAGUAUUCAAUUGUCAGAGGUGAAAAUUCUUGGAUUUAUUGAAGACUAACUACUGCGAAAAGCAUUUGCCAAGGAUGUUUUCAUUAAUCAAGAACGAAGUUAGGGGAUCGAAGACGAUCAGAUACCGUCGUAGUCUUAACCAUAAAACUAUGCCGACUAGGAAUCGGGCGAUGUUGACAAAAUGACGCGCUCGGCACCUCAUGG
rnacentral:rRNA from 1 species